rnacentral:tRNA from 1 species
GCCUCCGUAGCUCAGCAGGCAGAGCGACGCUCUUGUAAAGCGACGGCGCCGGUUCGAUUCCGGCCGGAGGCU